GCCCGGGUGGCGGAAUUGGUAGACGCAGCGGAUUCAAAAUCCGCCGAUCUAACGAUCGUGGGGGUUCGAGUCCCCCCCCGGGCACCA
rnacentral:tRNA from 1 species